AUGCUCGAGAUUCCUGCUCUGCUUCAGGAAAGAUCAAAGCACGGUGGUAAGAUGCCUGUGUGGAUCCCUGAUAAACAGGCAAGGACAGCAGGUUUGGUGAUCCCCUAGCACUGCCCAAGCUCUGUGGUGCCUGUGUCCCUCCUGUGUGCCUCUGCUGCUUUGGGGAUCCCCUGGUCGGUGAGGAUCUCUGGACCAGCACUGAAUGAAUGCCUCAUUUGACCUUGAUCUAGAAGAUGUUGAGGCCGCUGGAGCACAGACAGCCCUCCAGUUGACGGGGUGGAGGUUUCUGAAUGAAAAGAUGGUAAAAUGAAGAAAGAAUCACCUUUGAACACUGGAGGCUCCUCUACAUUGUUCUCCAGGUCCAGAUGCAUUUGGAUGUAGUUGUUGCACAGUUCCAUGCAGAGCUUGUGAAGCCUCUUGAUCAGCCAGCCCCAGUCUGCGUUGCUGACUGGCUGGACACUCAAAGAUGGGAUUCGAGCCCUCCACUGCCUCUUCUCCUUGCCUCGUGGGGGACUGACCUGGGCAGUUUCUUCAAAAAUGUCUUCAUCUUCUGAAGAACACUGUUGUGAGGAGUCUGUGCUUCUCUCAUCAUCUUCAAAGAGAAUCUUUUUCACUUGCUCUGCAGUGAUGUUCUCCUGGUUUGUCAGGAUUGCACAAACCAAGGCAUGGAAGUAGAUGUUGAAGCUCAUUGCUGACUGGCGAUACAAGUUGGCAGCUCCACCAAUGCCAGACACUUUUUUCAACAAACACUUCAGCCCAGGUCUGGUGUCAAACUCUCUGGCUGUUCUGUAGGAGUCCAGGAGUAAGUCAAAGAUGACAGCCAGGUUUUGCAUGGAGAUGUACCUGAGAAAACCAGCCAACUUGUUUUCUGGAAGAAGAAAAGCUCCCUUACCCCAGCUUCCUGUGAAACGAUGCAGCAUUAAGGAAACAAAACCAAAAGGGAGAAGUGAAACCCUGCUAAGGUUAAAGUAAAACUUUUGGAAAGGCCACAUUUACUAUCAUGCAUGAUUGCCAUAUUACUGCACUGCUGUAGCAAAUAAUAUGAAAAUAGUGGCACAGUCAACUUGUGAGCUGUGUUUUGGUGAUGAGCAUUGCUGGGACAACACUUGGCUAUGGGCAUAUACACCUUUAGCAGUUGGCUGGACAAAGCGCAGUGUGAGAGGAUUCAGAGUUUGCGUUAAUUGCAAGCUUUAUUUAUUUGUUUAAAGACAAGCAAGACCCUUACUGCCCUUACAAACACAGCCUGUUAGAUUGCAUGGCCUUAGGUGCUAUGAGAGUUGAAUAUUCCAGUCUUGCUUUGCACUCAUGGUAACAAGAAGAAUGACCUGCUAGCCUUUGGAAAAAGCAGAUAUUUCCCCCUAUAAAGGAAUGGUUUAACCUAUGACCUUAAGUUUUCUUUGUCGCUGUGCAGGGGCCUGUUCUCUGAUGCUGAGGCAACAGAGCACCUGCUCUCGGGGGAAAACUUCUGUACAACAGUGUAAGAGACAUCUUGCAUGGUCUUUCUUCCUGUCCCUCCAAAGAAGGACCAUCACAUUCUGGCUCCUUGUUGCAAGCAGUAGUUUAGAUUUGAAUGGUAUAAAACCAUGCUUGGUAUCUCAUAAAAGACAAUGUCAUGCCAUUAUAUGCCUUGCAAUACAAACACAAACCCUGAAUGCAGAAUUCUGAUUCUUGGUCCAAAUGAUGGUACAGCAGUUGUUUACACAACCACGUGCAAGCAAAGGGAAAUAUUCUUUCACAGGAUCAGACUAUAGUGCAAACAGAGGAGUUUCUCAGGUGGUAACACAACAGAAAGACUUCCACAAAAAUAAUGUGCCAAGCAAAAACAACACUCCCUAGCUUAGUGUUGACAGUUUUGCAGUUUUGGAUGUGGUAUCUUCAGUUUAUAAUGCCCCAAUUCAUCCAUUACCUUUUUCUACCUUCUUAACCAAGUAAUACAGAAUUUAAAAGGCCCUUAGUGAAGCAGACAUUGCAUUUGCUAGCUGUCACUAAAACCACAACAGUGUCACAAAACCUAAUUUGAUCAGUGCAUUCAUUUUUGUUGAUGAGCCCUAUGGGGAGGGGUAUGAUUUACCAGGCUCAGUUCACAUCUCUUCCUAUUCAGCAAUACUUUUAUCUUGCUUUAAGUGACACAGUGUCUUCCUUGGAA